CCCCUAGAUGUUCUGGGCCGCACGCGCGCUACACUGAACAGUUCAACAAGUCUUAACCUUGGCCGAUAGGUCUGGGUAAUCUUUGAACGCUGUUCGUGAUUGGGAUAGACCUUUGCAAUUAUGGGUCUUCAACGAGGAAUUCCUAGUACACGCAAGUCAUCAGCUUGCAUUGAUUACGUCCCUGCCCUUUGUACACACCGCCCGUCGCACCUACCGAUUGAAUGGUCCGGUGAAAUCUCGGGACGGCGGCUUGGUCGCUUGCGUCCGACUGCUGAAACUUGAUUAAACCAUAUCAUUUAGAGGAAGGUGAAGUCGUAACA
rnacentral:rRNA from 1 species